GACGAACGCUGGCGGCGUGCCUAAUACAUGCAAGUCGAGCGGACUGAUUAAGAGCUUGCUCUUAUGACGUUAGCGGCGGACGGGUGAGUAACACGUGGGCAACCUGCCCUGUAGAUCGGGAUAACACCGAGAAAUCGGUGCUAAUACCGGGUAAUAUCUGAGAUCACAUGAUCUUAGGUUAAAAGAUGGCUCCGGCUAUCACUACAGGAUGGGCCCGCGGCGCAUUAGCUAGUUGGUAAGGUAAUGGCUUACCAAGGCGACGAUGCGUAGCCGACCUGAGAGGGCGAUCGGCCACACUGGGACUGAGACACGGCCCAGACUCCUACGGGAGGCAGCAGUAGGGAAUCUUCCGCAAUGGACGAAAGUCUGACGGAGCAACGCCGCGUGAGUGAUGAAGGGUUUCGGCUCGUAAAGCUCUGUUGUUAGGGAAGAAACAGUACCGAACGAACUAGGUCGGUACCUUGACGGUACCUAACCAGAAAGCCACGGCUAACUACGUG
rnacentral:rRNA from 1 species